UCAAGCGAAAAAGAGCAUAAGGUGAAUGCCUUGGCACUGGGAGCCGAAGAAGGACGUGACUAACUGCGAUAAGCUGCGGGGAGCUGUAAAUAAGUAUUGAUCCGCAGAUUUCCGAAUGGGGAAACCCCCGUGAUGAAGAAUCACGGAGCGUAUACUGAAUCCAUAGGUAUACGCGGGGAACUCGGGGAACUGAAACAUCUAAGUACCCGAAGGAAGAGAAAUCAACCGAGAUUCCGCGAGUAGUGGCGAGCGAAAGCGGAAGAGGCUAAACCGGAGGUAGCAAUAUCUCCGGGGUUCGGACAGAAAUGUGUAUGCGGGAGCGUAGCCGAAAGGCGUGGGAAAGCCUGCCGGAGAAUGUGAGAGCCAUGUAGGCGAAACGCAAACGCGACUAUCUGUAUCCAAAGUACCUACGGACACGUGUAAUCCGUAGGGAAGAUGGGGGGCCCAUCCUCCAAGCCUAAAUACUACCCAGUGACCGAUAGCGGAGAAGUACUGUGAAGGAAAGGUGAAAAGAACCCCGGGAGGGGAGUGAAAUAGAACCUGAAACCUUAUGUUUACAAGCACACAAAGCACAUUCAAGUGCGAUGUGGUACCUUUUGUAGAAUGGUCCGGCGAGUUUAUGUGCGUAGCGAGGUUAAGGACUUCAGGUCCGGAGCCGCAGGGAAACCGAGUGUGAACAGCGCCAGAGUUACGCGUAUAAGACCCGAAACCGGGUGACCUAUCCAUGAGCAGGUUGAAGUUGCGGUAAAACGCAAUGGAGGACCGAACCGACCCCCGUUGAAAAGUUGGCGGAUGACUUGUGGAUAGCGGAGAAAUUCCAAUCGAACCCGGAUAUAGCUGGUUCUCCCCGAAAUAGUUUUAGGACUAGCCUCGUGAUUAAGAUUAUCGGAGGUAAAGCACUGAAUGGCCUAGGGGUCGAGAGAUUACCGAAGCCUAUCAAACUCUGAAUGCCGAAUAAUCAUGCACGGGAGUCAGACUGUGUGAGAUAAGUUUCAUAGUCGAAAGGGAAACAGCCCAGACCUACAGCUAAGGUCCCAAAGUACGUUUAAGUGGAAAACGAUGUGAAAUUGCGUAGACAACCAGGAUGUUGGCUUAGAAGCAGCCAUACAUUAAAAGAGUGCGUAAUAGCUCACUGGUCGAGUGACUUUGCGCGGAAAAUUUAACGGGGCUAAAACGUACACCGAAGCUUAGGCUUGUCACAAUGUGACAGGGGUAGGGGAGCGUUGAAUGAGGGGUGAAGUCGUAGCGAAAGCGACGGUGGACUUCAUUCAAGUGAGAAUGCCGGAAUGAGUAGCGAGAAUUAUGUGAGAAUCAUAAUGGCCGAAAGCCUAAGGUUUUUGGAGGAAGGUUCGUCCGCUCCAAGUAAGUCGGAAGCUAAGGUGAGGCUGAAAAGCGUAGCCGAUGCACAAACGGUUGAAAUUCCGUUACCACAGAAAGAUUUAAACUAAGGGACACUUUUGAAGAGCUGAUGCCGGGUGUUGGUUACCCCGGUCGUAAGGGAACGAAAUUAAGUAGUGAAGUCAGCGUGGAUGAAGGCGAGAAAAGCUUAGUGUAUAUCUUAUGUGUCCGUACCGCAAACCGACACAGGUAGGUAGGAAGAGAAUUCUAAGGCCAACGGGAGAAGGGUAGUUAAGGAACUCGGCAAAAUGUCCCCGUAACUUCGGAAUAAGGGGAGGUUUCUACGGAAACCCGCAGAGAAUAGUCCCAGGCAACUGUUUAUCAAAAACACAGCUCUAUGCUAAAUCGAAAGAUGACGUAUAUGGGGUGACGCCUGCCCGGUGCCGGAAGGUUAAGAGGAGGAGUGAGAGCCCUGAAUCGAAGCCCCGGUAAACGGCGGCCGUAACUAUAACGGUCCUAAGGUAGCGAAAUUCCUUGUCAGGUAAG
rnacentral:rRNA from 1 species